GGCCCCUUGGUGCUUACCACAGGCUGUGUUCUUCCACUGACUAUAUAAAAAGGAGGGAAAGUAAACCUACCCCAUAUAUACCUCAACCCAGGCACUGUGCCUGGUCUGUAUUCAUGGGAAGACGUGG
rnacentral:snoRNA from 1 species